AGCUGGAAAAAGCUGCUAGUAAACAAAGACAUCAGAAAGCAGGGGCUUUAGGUGUAGCCCACGCUUUCUGACGCACUAAUUAGAUUUAGUAACUGACACCCCAUACCAGCAUUACAUAGACACUUGGGGGCUGAGAUGGGUGGGUGGGGAGGGUGGGUGGUGUUAAAAGCACUUUAUGUUUUGUAGAUGUAUUUUUUCAGACAGGGCACACACAGUCCUGUUUCCUUUGUGGGAAAACCUUCGAACUUCACCAUUCUCAGCUGAAACAACAACAUCUUAACACCAUCUUCAUGAACUGCUGAGCCAAACCUGAUCCAUCAGUGCUGGACUGCACAGAUAACUACAUGCCACAAGGAGACUGCUGUUUUAUGAACUGCCAUACCAGUGUGUCUUCAAUGGAGAAGAUGACACACCCAUCACCUGACCUCCUGCCUGAUCUGGAGACCAUCACCAUGCUGCCACACUACACACCUCUGAGACCAUCAAUGAUGACUCAUACCGAGGAAACUGUAUUUCCUGUCAGAGAUGCUCAGUGAUCCUCAGAGCAGAGAGAGGUAUGAUUCUUUAUCUUUGAUAAAAAAUGUCAUUGCUUUUAAUUCAUUUAAUUAAUUUAAAUCCUGUUUAUUGCAUAAAGAAUUCCACACUCAAAUGAUUAUACUUGUUGACACUUUUUGAGUUUUAAUUCACAUUAUGGAUUACAAAUCUAUGCUUUUUCUACUCUGUCUCUCUGUGCAGGUAUUGCUGUCUUCUGAGUUCUUCAGUGUCCCAACUGAGACAUUCAAACCUCAUUGCAGAGCUCAUGUCUUUCCUCACCAUCAUGUGAGUGUGAGAUUGCUCUGGAUUCUGGUUAUGUGGCCUGCAGCACCUAUAAGAACAAGCUCGUCCUGUGUGCCUGCAUUCCAGCUUCUUAGACUCUACGCAAGUGGACAGAGUAUCAGUGCUUGGCCACUCUUACAGACACCGACUUCUGUCAACUCAGUGCUACUGAUCAGGCACCUCACUCCAGGAAGACAGAGGGCUGCAAGCCUGUUAUCGUUUCCAGUGUGGCUUUGUAUUCUUGGGGUAGCAUCAGAUUUUUCCCACAAAUAUUCAAAGGUAACACUUAUUUUAAGCUUAGUUAUUAAAUCAAAAGUCUUCCCUUGUGUUAAUUGUUUUAUUUUUUAUUUAUUUUUUUUCUUUUACAUUUAUAUGCAGUUAUCGGAUGUGGUGGAGCUUUGUUAA
rnacentral:lncRNA from 1 species